UCCCACCUUGGAAAAAUUAUGUUACAGCUAUAUGGCCUAUAUUAACAUUUUUUUGGCCUUUUAUAAGUAACAGCUUUUGAAACUGGACAUUUAGCUAUCCAUUGUCAGUUGCUUGAGAAAAGAUCUCUCUUUUUUUUCUGGCUCUUUUAGAGCACUCCAAAAGAAUGAUUUCAGAGAAAUCAUAAAAAGAUUAAUUCAUAAUGAUGAAAUGAUGAAAUUCAAAAAUAUAAAUGCACCCCCCACCCCCCGCCCCAGUGUGUUAUCUAUGUAUCUAGAGCAUGAUGCAGUCACUUCAUCCACAUGAACCACAGAUUUCUACUGUGAUGACCUUAAUUAGGCCAGAAUAAUGACAGGAUCAAAAGGCCCACACACCCUGGAAAGCUUAGAGCCUUUUUAAGUAGGGAAAAAAGUUCUGGACUAGGCUGAUAUUACCAAAUUCCUGUCUUCCACUUUCUAAAGAGAAUCCUAUAGGUUGUAGCCUGUUUUCCUGUUUGUUAACGAUAAAAUGCUUAAUAUUCUACUAGCUCUUUCCGAAGCUCUUCAGCGUCACUGUCAUCCUGAGAGAACUCUGUCCCUGAAGGGGAAAAUAGUUUUCUUCACCCAGGGCCUCUUUCCUUGUAUUAACAUCCCGUGAGAAUAUUAGCUCUGGAGGAAAGAAUUUGAUGGCGAAAUUCCAUAUUUACUCAUGAAAUCCACCCCCAACUUCCAGUCACAUGUUUUAGUAGGACAGUCAGAAGAAAAAUUCCCCAUUCCCACUGCCCUGUCUUCCUGCUCCCCCUUAGCUUCUUCUGACACCCAUUCUGGGGUUUUUUUCUUCCUGAACCAAAAGCCACUUUUACUAGCAGAGGCUCUUUAAGGCAGAAAAAUACUUAAGUUAAAAAAAUUACUUGGCACUGGCUGGAAUAUAGACAGGAAAUGGAGUCUGUUCAGUCCUCUGGGCUCUAACCCCACCUGACUCCUCUUUUUUCCCCUCCCUUGGGUUGUAGGAAGGGUAUAUAAGAGUAUAUAAGGCUCAAUAAGAUGCAGGCAAUAUUGUGGGGUUGACAGGUUGCCUCUCUUUCCUUUCCUAGAAAUGUUGCUUCAAAGACCCAGAGAAAGAAAAGAAAUUCCUUAGUGCCAUUGAUUUCUUAAAAUGAUUUUUAAAUGGCUGUUUGCACAUGUGGCCGAGUAACAAAGCACAGGAACUCUGAUGCCACUUUUUGCAUUCAACUGUGGGCUCCAUAUGCCAUCUUGGUCCUACCUGGAUUCCAAAUAUUAUCAAAUGGCUCUUCACACAAGUUAUGGGUAACUCGGGAAUUGGCUCCCAUGAUACUACCAGCAAAAGCUCCUGCCAUGAGGACCUUGGAGGCCACACGCUCCAGAUGGCA